UUGUGUGUAGAAUAAUGUGUUUGUGUAAUAAUGAUGGUGACAUGUGUAGAACAGCAGCUCCUGACUGGUUCAGUGUGUUUGCAUAUGUGUGCUGCCUCUCUGCUUCCAGCAGUUAAAGCUCAGUGUUGAUCAGUGGCUGUCCAGACCUUUCAGAGACUCGGACUCGCCCGCAGCACAAUGAUGAUGUCACUGACUCUGCUGCUCUUCACCCUGGAGCUCCUCGUUCAGGCUUCAUCAGAAGAAAUCAUCCUGACUCAGACUCCUGAAGCUCAGUCUGUAGUUCAAGGACAGACUGUCUCCAUCAGAUGUAAAUCCAGUAGUCUCAUUGGUGAUGACAUAGACUGGUAUCUUCAGAAACCUGGAGAAGCUCCUAAACUGCUGAUAUAUGAUACUACAGCUCGUCAGUCUGGAGUUCCAGAUCGUUUCAGUGCAACUGCAGUUCAGACUGACUUCACUCUGACCAUCAGCAGAGUUCAGCCUGAAGAUUCAGGAGUUUAUUACUGUCAGCAGCAUAACAGCAUCCCGUUCACACAGUGAAACAACGUCGUUCUUUAAAUUGUCAGAAAAAGUCUCAAAUCCAGCAAUAAAGAGAAAAAAAAGAUUUCAAAGUUAAAGAUGAUCCAUGUUCCUGUUGGAGUGAGUGGUUGCAUUUCCAUAGAGACACUUUGCAUCAGCAGCUCCAUGCUCCAGUGCUCUGGGAGACUUUAUAGUCCUGAGAGUUGAAGACUGGAUGACUGACAGCUGUCCUUCAUCACAGCAGAAGACACACAAAUCCUCCUC